GACAGAAGAGGGGAAAGCUGCAAGUCCCGCAGGCGGGACGCGGAGGGAGGCUGGGGCAGACGGCCGGAGGUGCGGGACUCCCUUGCUCCUAGCGGGCGAGAGAGAGGGUGGAUGCUGAAAGUCUCUAACCAAAUAUCUCAGUAACGUGGAUGGCAUGAUUAUCAUGUUGCUAAGCAUUUCCUUAUUGACGCGCUCCACACUUAGAGUCUAAUCUCCAAAAUAUAUGUCAAAGCAGUUUCUCAGUUUCUGACACGUUUAGAGACCCUGUCCUGCAGGUAUAUUUUGUCAGCACUUGCAGAAUAGUUUCAGGGAGUUCCACAUACGCUUCACCAACAGCUCUAAGAAUGCGAGUCCGAUUCAAACAUCACAUAACUAGCCCUGUUUCCCUCUGUUCCCCCUUCUUACUCCUCCCUUCCCAGUUGCAGUUCUGCAGCCACCGUUGCGGUAACAGAGUACUGUAAAGUGCGUUUAAAUGUUCUUAAACCCUACCCCAUUCCCUCCCGUGUCUGCCGAGGAGUUCCAGAUGACAUUACUUCUGUGUCCAUUUAAAAAAUCUGUCUCCGUGUUUAGCUACAAACCGUCCAAACUAAACGCAAAUAAUGUUAUAAAGGGAUAUAACAAAGUAUUAGAGAAGGGAAGGGAAAUGGAGAUGUGCACUUCUAUCAAGUGAUGCUGCCUAAAGAGAGAGUUACAUUGAUCCAGAGUUUAAAAGCUAGUAUCCUUUAGAUCAUAAUGCUGUACGCAUUUGUGUGCACGCAUAGGUACAGUCUGAGGUGUAGGAGUUAUUACAGGAGUUUUGAACUUCAUGGCUGCAGAUUUAGAAAGUUCUUGUAUCAGUUGCGUCUGGACACCCUCAUGCAUUAACAAAACCACUGCAUUGAAUCAAGCGCCUGAACAUUGCAAUCUACUUCACAGGAUUUUCUGUACCGCCAGAGUACCACCGGGUAGGAUGCCCUCCUUGGCCAGAGGCUAGUGGCUGAACGAAGUCAAAUGAAUAAAAUAAGUCUAAAGUAGUCUUCUUUGCAAAGCGAGGGUGAUAUGCAUGUACAGGGAGCAUCUAGAAAAGGUGAAAAUCCGAGUUGUGUAGCUCCAAAUCAUUACACUCUCGGCAGCAGAACACCAUCAUUAUUCACGGGCAGAAGGGACAAAGUCCUGUCAUAUAGUGAUUAUUGUUAUGACGAGGACCAAUAACAUCUUUGUUAUAAAAACAGUGUUUGUUAUGAAGAAAUUGGGUGAGCAGCCAUUCAGAUAAACAUCACCUGUGCCUAACAAGCUCACUAUCUUCGUGACGUUUUGUGUGCUGCUAACUACUCUUCCUUUUCAACCGUUGUGGGGUUUUUUGUCUUUCUUGUAAUUAUGCACAUUGUUUCCCCACUUACCCUAAUUUCAGCACUAAGGCUCCGAAAUUGCAUAGAGAAGUAAAAGAAAGGUUAUUUUUUCCUGCUUAUGCACACAGAUAAGUUUGAUACCUAUGAUUGCUGUAAUAUCUUCAUGUGAUUCUGUAGAGCCCACUCAAAUAUUAGAGCCUCUAAUUCCUCUGCAUUUUUAAUUCAUCUUAGUUGUCUUUUGGUGGUUUUUUUUGAAGAACAGUGAUCAAUUAUUUUUUACAGUGCAACAAUGACGAUGUUCUUCAA